rnacentral:ncRNA from 2 species
CUAUAGGCGUUACUUAAUAACGCCACAGCAUAGUACAUUUUAAUAUGUGU